CAAAGUAACACCAAAAGGCAUAUAGACAAAGCACAUUCGCAAAAUGAAAGACAAGAAUACGUGAAUAUCAUAAACAAUAAUGACAGAAUGUACAAGUACCACAAUUAUCCUAAUACCAAUAAAACAAACAAUUAUUUAUCAAAAAGCACAAAAAGGCUGUGUCAUUUUGGUCUCUUGAGGAGAGUUGUCUCAUUGGCAAUCAAAC
rnacentral:lncRNA from 1 species